AUGAACGCUAGCUACAGGCUUAACACAUGCAAGUCGAGGGGCAGCAUGGUCUUAGCUUGCUAAGGCCGAUGGCGACCGGCGCACGGGUGAGUAACACGUAUCCAACCUGCCGUCUACUCUUGGACAGCCUUCUGAAAGGAAGAUUAAUACAAGAUGGCAUCAUGAGUCCGCAUGUUCACAUGAUUAAAGGUAUUCCGGUAGACGAUGGGGAUGCGUUCCAUUAGAUAGUAGGCGGGGUAACGGCCCACCUAGUCUUCGAUGGAUAGGGGUUCUGAGAGGAAGGUCCCCCACAUUGGAACUGAGACACGGUCCAAACUCCUACGGGAGGCAGCAGUGAGGAAUAUUGGUCAAUGGGCGAGAGCCUGAACCAGCCAAGUAGCGUGAAGGAUGACUGCCCUAUGGGUUGUAAACUUCUUUUAUAAAGGAAUAAAGUCGGGUAUGCAUACCCGUUUGCAUGUACUUUAUGAAUAAGGAUCGGCUAACUCCGUGCCAGCAGCCGCGGUAAUACGGAGGAUCCGAGCGUUAUCCGGAUUUAUUGGGUUUAAAGGGAGCGUAGAUGGAUGUUUAAGUCAGUUGUGAAAGUUUGCGGCUCAACCGUAAAAUUGCAGUUGAUACUGGAUAUCUUGAGUGCAGUUGAGGCAGGCGGAAUUCGUGGUGUAGCGGUGAAAUGCUUAGAUAUCACGAAGAACUCCGAUUGCGAAGGCAGCCUGCUAAGCUGCAACUGACAUUGAGGCUCGAAAGUGUGGGUAUCAAACAGGAUUAGAUACCCUGGUAGUCCACACGGUAAACGAUGAAUACUCGCUGUUUGCGAUAUACAGCAAGCGGCCAAGCGAAAGCGUUAAGUAUUCCACCUGGGGAGUACGCCGGCAACGGUGAAACUCAAAGGAAUUGACGGGGGCCCGCACAAGCGGAGGAACAUGUGGUUUAAUUCGAUGAUACGCGAGGAACCUUACCCGGGCUUAAAUUGCAGAUGAAUUACGGUGAAAGCCGUAAGCCGCAAGGCAUCUGUGAAGGUGCUGCAUGGUUGUCAUCAGCUCGUGCCGUGAGGUGUCGGCUUAAGUGCCAUAACGAGCGCAACCCUUGUUGUCAGUUACUAACAGGUUCCGCUGAGGACUCUGACAAGACUGCCAUCGUAAGAUGUGAGGAAGGUGGGGAUGACGUCAAAUCAGCACGGCCCUUACGUCCGGGGCUACACACGUGUUACAAUGGGGGGGUACAGAGGGCCGCUACCACGCGAGUGGAUGCCAAUCCCAAAAACCUCUCUCAGUUCGGACUGGAGUCUGCAACCCGACUCCACGAAGCUGGAUUCGCUAGUAAUCGCGCAUCAGCCACGGCGCGGUGAAUACGUUCCCGGGCCUUGUACACACCGCCCGUCAAGCCAUGGGAGCCGGGGGUACCUGAAGUGCGUAACCGCGAGGAGCGCCCUAGGGUAAAACUGGUGACUGGGGCU
rnacentral:rRNA from 1 species